UACGUAGGGAGCAAGCGUUGUCCGGAAUCAUUGGGCGUAAAGCGCGCGUAGGCGGCCUCAUAAGUCCGUUGUGAAAGUCAAAGGCUCAACCUUUGAAAGCCGAUGGAUACUGUGAGGCUAGAGUCCGGAAGAGGCGAGUGGAAUUCCUGGUGUAGCGGUGGAAUGCGCAGAUAUCAGGAGGAACACCAGUGGCGAAGGCGACUACCCUGGCCUGUUCUUGACGCUGAGGCGCGAAAGCUAGGGGAGCAAACGGG
rnacentral:rRNA from 1 species